rnacentral:rRNA from 1 species
CAACCUACGGGGGCAGCAGUGGGGAAUAUUGCACAAUGGGGGAAACCCUGAUGCAGCGACGCCGCGUGAGUGAAGAAGUAAUUCGUUAUGUAAAGCUCUAUCAGCAGGGAAGAAAAUGACGGUACCUGAGUAAGAAGCCCGGGCUAACUACGUGCCAGCAGCCGCGGUAAUACGUAGGGGGCAAGCGUUAUCCGGAUUUACUGGGUGUAAAGGGAGCGUAGACGGUCCUGCAAGCCAGAUGUGAAAGCCCGGGGCUCAACCCCGGGAC